rnacentral:rRNA from 1 species
UACGGAGGGUGCGAGCGUUGUCCGGAAUUAUUGGGCGUAAAGAGCGCGUAGGCGGUCCGAUAAGUCGGCUGUGAAAGUCAGGGGCUCAACCCUUGGAAGCCGGCCGAUACUGUCGGACUAGAGUCCGGAAGAGGCGAGUGGAAUUCCCGGUGUAGCGGUGAAAUGCGCAGAUAUCGGGAGGAACACCAAUGGCGAAGGCAGCUCGCUGGGACGGUACUGACGCUGAGGCGCGAAAGCGUGGGGAGCGAACAGG